rnacentral:rRNA from 1 species
AGAAUCAACGCUGGCGGCGUGCCUAACACAUGCAAGUCGAACGCGAAAGGGGCGCAAGUCCUGAGUAGAGUGGCAAACGGGUGAGUAACACGUGGGUGACCUGCCUUCGAGUGGGGGAUAACGUUCCGAAAGGAACGCUAAUACCGCAUGACAUCCUGCGUUUGGAAACGCGGACAUCAAAGCUGGGGAUCGCAAGACCUGGCGCUCGGAGAGGGGCCCGCGGCUGAUUAGCUAGUUGGUGGGGUAAUGGCUCACCAAGGCGACGAUCAGUA